rnacentral:rRNA from 1 species
UACGGGGGGGGCGAAGCGUUGUUCGGAAUUACUGGGCGGUAAAGGGCUCGUAGGCGGCCAACUAAGUCGGAUGUGAAAUCCCCCAGGCUCAACCCUGGGAACUGCAUCCGAUACUGGAUGGCUUGAAUCCGGGAGAGGGAUGCAGAAUUCCAGGUGUAGCGGUGAAAUGCGUAGAUAUCUGGAGGAACACCGGUGGCGAAGGCAGCUCGCUGGGACGUGACUGACGCUGAGACGCGAAAGCGUGGGGAGCAAACAGG